ensembl:lncRNA
GGGGGAAAAGCAGACAAAUUAUUUUAACAGUGAGAAUUUAAUAUAGGGGAUUGAUUGAACGGAUCUCAGAAGACUGAAAAGACAAAAGGAGACACUGAGGAUCUUGGUUCCCUGACCAGGGGUCAAACCUGUGCCCCCUGCAGUGGAAGUGUGGAGUCUUAACCUCUGGACCACCAGGGAAGUCCUCAGAAGGGAGAGUCAUUAUUCCAGGCGGUGGACACUUGCUGACUUCCUGUAAGAUGAGCUCCAGGGCCAUCUCCCAGUCUUGCCCCAGCCCCUGAUCAUCAUCAUGCUCUUGUUUCUGCCACUGGAGCUCUUAGCCC